GACGAACGCUGGCGGCGUGCUUAACACAUGCAAGUCGAACGGAAAGGCCCUGCUUUUGUGGGGUGCUCGAGUGGCGAACGGGUGAGUAACACGUGAGUAACCUGCCCUUGACUUUGGGAUAACUUCAGGAAACUGGGGCUAAUACCGGAUAGGAGCUCCUGCUGCAUGGUGGGGGUUGGAAAGUUUCGGCGGUUGGGGAUGGACUCGCGGCUUAUCAGCUUGUUGGUGGGGUAGUGGCUUACCAAGGCUUUGACGGGUAGCCGGCCUGAGAGGGUGACCGGCCACAUUGGUACUGAGAUACGGCCCAGACUCCUACGGGAGGCAGCAGUGGGGAAUAUUGCACAAUGGGCGGAAGCCUGAUGCAGCAACGCCGCGUGCGGGAUGACGGCCUUCGGGUUGUAAACCGCUUUCGCCUGUGACGAAGCGUGAGUGACUGUAAUGGGUAAAGAAGCACCGGCUAACUACGUG
rnacentral:rRNA from 1 species